rnacentral:rRNA from 1 species
GAUGAACGCUAGCUACAGGCUUAACACAUGCAAGUCGAGGGACCGGCGCACGGGUUAGUAACACGUAUCCAACCUGCCCUUUCCUCUGGGAUAGCCUUUCGAAAGCAAGAUUAAUACCCGAUAUAAAGGAUGGGGUUGCGUUCCAUUAGGUCGUGGGUGAGGUAACGGCCCACCAAGCGUUCGAUGGAUAGGGGUUCUGAGAGGAAGGUCACCCACAAUGGAACUGCGACGCGAUCCAAACGACUACGGGGGGAAGCAGGGGGGAAUAAUGGUGCACGGGGGCUAGCAGGAACCAGCCAAGUAGCGUGAAGGAGGAAGGCUUAUGGGUCGUAAACUUCUUUUAUAUAAUAGUAGGUAUGAGAUGAAUAAGGAUCGGCUAACUCCGUGCCAGCAGCCGCGGUAAUUC